rnacentral:rRNA from 1 species
UACAGAGACUGCAAGCGUUAUUCGGAUUCACUGGGCGUAAAGGGUGCGCAGGCGGUUGGGUGUGUCAGAUGUGAAAUCCCGAGGCUUAACCUCGGAACUGCGUCUGAAACUACUCGACUAGAGUACUGGAGAGGGUAACGGAAUUCACGGUGUAGCAGUGAAAUGCGUAGAUAUCGUGAGGAACACCAGAGGCGAAGGCGGUUACCUGGACAGUUACUGACGCUCAGGCACGAAAGCAUGGGGAGCGAACAGG